rnacentral:rRNA from 1 species
AUGUCGAGCGCCGCCACCACCGGUUCCACUGCUGCGGGCUUCCUCCCGGCCUCUCUUGCGGCUCUGCUCAACCUCCCGCUCGAUGCCGUCUCUGUUCCGGCUCCGAUCGGGACAAGGAGCAUCAGCUCCGUCUUCUCCACGCCGCCGGCGCCCUCGCUUGGGCGUGACCUCAUGGUCCACACCGCGGCGCCGCCGUCCGCUGCGGACUCCGCAGGCGUCGUCCCGCCGCUCCUGCCGCAAGUGGAUCACACUGCCCCGCUGGCGGGGUUGGCGGCGUCCGCCCCGACCGCGGGCCUUGCGGCGUCCGCACCGGCCGCAAGCUUUGCGGCGCCCGCCCUGGCUGCGGUCCCGCCUCCUCCCGCAUCGGCUUCGAUGCCUCCGGCUGCCUCCAUGGUGUUUGCACCCCAGGCAGCCUCCUCAAUGGGAUUGUCUUCGCCGCCGCCGUUUCACUUCGGUCAUCUCAUCACCAUCAAGCUCUCCGCCGACAACUACAUCUUCUGGCGUGCGCAGGUCCUCCCGCUCUUGAGGAGUCACUACCUGCUAGGCUACGUCGAUGGAUCGCUUCCCUGCCCACCCGCGCUGGUAGACAGCAUGCACGGUCCGGUCUACAAUCCGGCCCAUCGCGUCUGGACGGGGCAGGACCAGGCGAACCUCUCCUCCAUCCAGGGGUCGCUCUCGCCGGCAGUUGCCGGCCUUGUUGUCUUCCGAAGACGUCUCAUGAGGCCUGGACCAUCCUUGAGCGCACCUUUGCAGCGCAGUCCCAGACUCGUGUCUCUGCACUCCGUCGUCAGCUUGGAGAGUGUCAGAAGCUUGACUCCACUGCCACUGAGUUCUACAACAAGGUCAAGGGCCUCGCCGACACAUUGGCCUCCAUUGGACAGCCCCUCACCGACUCUGAGUUCAACUCGUUUAUUGUCAAUGGUCUUGAUGAGGAGUAUGAUGCCUUAG